rnacentral:rRNA from 1 species
UACGGAGGAUCCAAGCGUUAUCCGGAAUCAUUGGGUUUAAAGGGUCCGUAGGCGGUUUAGUACGUCAGUGGUGAAAGCCCAUCGCUCAACGGUGGAACGGCCAUUGAUACUGCUAAACUUGAAUUAUUAGGAAGUAACUAGAAUAUGUAGUGUAGCGGUGAAAUGCUUAGAGAUUACAUGGAAUACCAAUUGCGAAGGCAGGUUACUACUAAUGGAUUGACGCUGAUGGACGAAAGCGUGGGUAGCGAACAGG